rnacentral:sRNA from 1 species
ACUGAUGACGAAAAACCCCUAUAGAUAGUGAUCGCCCUGGCCCUAGCGCCUCGUCUCACUGACGAACACGAACGAAUAGUCCGAGGCGAGGCUGGCGCUGCCCUUGACCAGGUUUUUCGGCUGAACCUUCGUCGUGCCGCGUCCGGCGACCAGGGCCGUUCUGAGGGUCUUCGGCGUCGCGAUCGGCGCGCUCUGGUGACAGUCCAUGCAGGCGUUCUUGCUCUGCUGGUAGGUCUCCAAGGUGGUGUUGGCGACGAUGCCGGACUUGCUGGAGGGGGUGAUGUCACCAUUGGGCAGCGGCACGGUGCUGCCCGCCUUCACGACGGUCGGGCUGUUGGGCCACUGGACGUUGAUCAGCCGGUAGUAGUUGUAGACCGAGUUGGCCGGCAGCAGGCUCCAGACAUAGCCCGUCACCGCGUUCGCAGUCGCGUCUACCGGGACGAGUCGGGU